CCUACGGGUGGCAGCAGUGAGGAAUAUUGGUCAAUGGACGAGAGUCUGAACCAGCCAAGUAGCGUGAAGGAUGACUGCCCUAUGGGUUGUAAACUUCUUUUAUAUGGGAAUAAAACGUUCCACGUGUGAGAUUUUGUAUGUACCAUAUGAAUAAGGAUCGGCUAACUCCGUGCCAGCAGCCGCGGUAAUACGGAGGAUCCGAGCGUUAUCCGGAUUUAUUGGGUUUAAAGGGAGCGUAGGUGGAUUGUUAAGUCAGUUGUGAAAGUUUGCGGCUCAACCGUAAAAUUGCAGUUGAAACUGGCAGUCUUGAGUACAGUAGAGGUGGGCGGAAUUCGUGGUGUAGCGGUGAAAUGCUUAGAUAUCACGAAGAACUCCGAUUGCGAAGGCAGUUCACUGGACUGCAACUGACACUGAGGCUCGAAAGUGUGGGUAUCAAACAGGAUUAGAUACCCCAGUAGUC
rnacentral:rRNA from 1 species